rnacentral:lncRNA from 7 species
GAACAGGAUCUAGUUCCCACUCUGAUAGCUCUGCAGGCUCCACUGUGCUGAAGAAAGACAAAAUACUCCAAAUAGGUGAUAAUCACACUAGCGAGCAGGUGCACGUUUGACCACCGGAGCAGAGCUGCAGUUGUUCUGAAGCAGUUCAGAUUUCUACUGAAGAUGAAAUUAAUGACAGCAAAAGGAGCCGUUUGACUGCUGGGAAAUUGGCUUCAGAGCACCACAGAAGGACAUAUUGGCUGCUGUGUGUGACUAAGAGGAGGAGUCCCUCCAGGUGCUGGGUAGGUUUGGAGCUGGUCGGCUGGGGACACGAGUCCUCUACUUUGACAGGAACAGUGAAGCAGAAGAGUUUCCAUCGCAGAUGCCCAUUACACGAAGGGAUGCCAUCUCCAAGAGGCAGGAAUUUCUUCCUCAAGUUCCCAGGACUGAGCGAAUGGGCUGCUACAUGUAGGCUGCAGGUGUCUGCCCUCUAUGAAGUGGAUGGAAAGCAGGGGACUCAGGCUGGGGUCUGGAUGGUGAUGUGCUGCUGCUGCAGGGCAAUAUGGAUGUGCUGCCUGUGGGCAUAUUUAUGUUCCAGCCUCCCUGGCUUAUCUCCACAAAGAGUGCACACAGUUGGUGUGAGAGGGACAGGGAAUGAUGGUGGUAUAAAUCUCAUCUGGCACAGAACUCUCGGGUAUCAUUUAAAAGGGUAAGCUGGAUUAUAUCUCUUAAUAAACUCGAUGGGACUCUCCCGUAAGGCUGGGGUGCUUUGCUCACACACAGGUGAUGCCGUGAACUCUGGCAGAUGAAUACCUGCCACAGCAUCUUCUGUGGCAACGCUCAGUUGUUCUCUGUAGCCUUCUAGACUUCAGAUUCUUAAAGAUAAGCUGAUGAGCAUUGGCUUUAUCGCUUCUACAUUUGUGAAGUAGGGUUCACUUACAAUUCACUGUAUUGAAGAUGUUCUCAGUAAGAGCACCUGUUUGUUUUUGGCCAGAAGACAAAUAAACAAACCUCUCU